ACCAACAUUGGCCGUUAACAUCGGUUUUUUACAAAAACUGAUGUUAACUUCCAACGUUAACAUUGGUUUUCUAAAAAAACCAAUGUUAACUGUCAAUGUUAAC
rnacentral:pre_miRNA from 1 species